AUUGAACGCUGGCGGCAGGCCUAACACAUGCAAGUCGAGCGGAUGAAGGGAGCCUGCUCCUGGAUUCAGCGGCGGACGGGUGAGUAAUGCCUAGGAAUCUGCCUGGUAGUGGGGGAUAACGUCCGGAAACGGGCGCUAAUACCGCAUACGUCCUGAGGGAGAAAGUGGGGGAUCUUCGGACCUCACGCUAUCAGAUGAGCCUAGGUCGGAUUAGCUAGUUGGUGGGGUAAGGGCCUACCAAGGCGACGAUCCGUAACUGGUCUGAGAGGAUGAUCAGUCACACUGGAACUGAGACACGGUCCAGACUCCUACGGGAGGCAGCAGUGGGGAAUAUUGGACAAUGGGCGAAAGCCUGAUCCAGCCAUGCCGCGUGUGUGAAGAAGGUCUUCGGAUUGUAAAGCACUUUAAGUUGGGAGGAAGGGCAGUAAGUUAAUACCUUGCUGUUUUGACGUUACCAACAGAAUAAGCACCGGCUAACUUCGUG
rnacentral:rRNA from 1 species